rnacentral:rRNA from 1 species
GGGGAAACACUGAAGAUCAACAUCCUUGUCAGAGGCGAUGAAGGGCGUGCUAAUCUGCGAUAAGCGCCGGUAAGGUGAUAUGAACCGUUAUAACCGGCGAUACCCGAAUGGGGAAACCCAGUGUGAUUCGUCACACUAUCAUUAACUGAAUCCA